rnacentral:rRNA from 1 species
UGGCCUACGGGGGGCAGCAGUGGGGAAUCUUGCACAAUGGGGGAAACCCCGAUGCAGCGAUGCCGCGUGAGUGAAGAAGGCCUUUGGGUUGUAAAACUCUUUCGUCGGGGAAGAAAAUGACUGUACCCGAAUAAGAAGGUCCGGCUAACUUCGUGCCAGCAGCCGCGGUAAUACGAAGGGACCUAGCGUAGUUCGGAAUUACUGGGCUUAAAGAGCUCGUAGGUGGUUAAAAAAGUUGAUGGUGAAAUCCCAAGGCUUAACCUUGGAACUGCCAUCAAAACUUUUUAGCUAGAGUGUGAUAGAGGUAAGUGGAAUUUCUAGUGUAGAGGUGAAAUUCGUAGAUAUUAGAAAGAACACCAAAUGCGAAGGCAACUUACUGGGUCACUACUGACACUGAGGAGCGAAAGCAUGGGUAGCGAAGAGGAUUAGAUACCCUCGUAGUCCAUGCCGUAAACGAUGUGUGCUAGACGUUGGAAAUAUAUUUUUCAGUGUCGCAGCGAAAGCAUUAAGCACACCGCCUGGGGAGUACGACCGCAAGGUUAAAACUCAAAUGAAUUGACGGGGACCCGCACAAGCAGUGGAGCAUGUGGUUUAAUUCGAAGAUACGCGCAGAACCUUACCAACACUUGACAUGUUCGUCGCGAGACUAAGAGAUUAGUUUCUUCAAAGUUCGGCUGGACGAAACACAGGUGCUGCAUGGCUGUCGUCAGCUCGUGUCGGGUGAGAUGUUGGGUUAAGUCCCGCAACGAGCGCAACCCCUACUUUUAGUUGCGCCACCAUUUAGUUGGGCACUUUAAAAGAACUGCCAGUGAUAAGCUGGAGUCGAAGGUGGGGAUGACGUCAAGUCCUCAUGGCCCUUAUGUGUUGGGCUACACGCACGUGCUACAAUGGUACUUACAAUGGGAUGCAAAGAGGCGACUCCUAGCCUUAAUCCCUAAAAUGUACCUCAGUUCGGAUUGUACUCUGUAACUCGAGUGCGAAUGAAGCUGGAAUUGCUAGUAAUCGCGGAUCAGCGCGCCGCGGUGAAUACUUGUUCCCGGGUCUUGUACACACCGCCCGUCAA